rnacentral:rRNA from 1 species
CCUACGGGUGGCAGCAGUGGGGAAUAUUGCACAUGGGCGCAAGCCUGAUGCAGCCAUGCCGCGUGUGUGAAGAAGGCCUUCGGGUUGUAAAGCACUUUCAGCGGGGAGGAAGGCGUUAAGGUUAAUAACCUUGGCGAUUGACGUUACCCGCAGAAGAAGCACCGGCUAACUCCGUGCCAGCAGCCGCGGUAAUACGGAGGGUGCAAGCGUUAAUCGGAAUUACUGGGCGUAAAGCGCACGCAGGCGGUCUGUCAAGUCGGAUGUGAAAUCCCCGGGCUCAACCUGGGAACUGCAUUCGAAACUGGCAGGCUAGAGUCUUGUAGAGGGGGGUAGAAUUCCAGGUGUAGCGGUGAAAUGCGUAGAGAUCUGGAGGAAUACCGGUGGCGAAGGCGGCCCCCUGGACAAAGACUGACGCUCAGGUGCGAAAGCGUGGGGAGCAAACAGGAUUAGAUACCCCAGUAGUC